GACGAACGCUGGCGGCGUGCCUAAUACAUGCAAGUCGAACGCUUCUUUCCUCCCGAGUGCUUGCACUCAAUUGGAAAGAGGAGUGGCGGACGGGUGAGUAACACGUGGGUAACCUACCCAUCAGAGGGGGAUAACACUUGGAAACAGGUGCUAAUACCGCAUAACAGUUUAUGCCGCAUGGCAUAAGAGUGAAAGGCGCUUUCGGGUGUCGCUGAUGGAUGGACCCGCGGUGCAUUAGCUAGUUGGUGAGGUAACGGCUCACCAAGGCCACGACGCAUAGCCGACCUGAGAGGGUGAUCGGCCACACUGGGACUGAGACACGGCCCAGACUCCUACGGGAGGCAGCAGUAGGGAAUCUUCGGCAAUGGACGAAAGUCUGACCGAGCAACGCCGCGUGAGUGAAGAAGGUUUUCGGAUCGUAAAACUCUGUUGUUAGAGAAGAACAAGGACGUUAGUAACUGAACGUCCCCUGACGGUAUCUAACCAGAAAGCCACGGCUAACUACGUG
rnacentral:rRNA from 1 species